rnacentral:rRNA from 1 species
GACGAACGCUGGCGGCGUGCCUAAUACAUGCAAGUCGAACGAGAGCGACCGGUGCUUGCACUGGUCAAUCUAGUGGCGAACGGGUGAGUAACACGUGGGUAACCUGCCCAUCAGAGGGGGAUAACAUCCGGAAACGGAUGCUAAAACCGCAUAGGUCUUCGAGCCGCAUGGCUUGAAGAGGAAAAGAGGCGCAAGCUUCUGCUGAUGGAUGGACCCGCGGUGCAUUAGCUAGUUGGUGAGGUAACGGCUCACCAAGGCCGUGAUGCAUAGCCGACCUGAGAGGGUGAUCGGCCACAUUGGGACUGAGACACGGCCCAAACUCCUACGGGAGGCAGCAGUAGGGAAUCCUCCGCAAUGGACGCAAGUCUGACGGAGCAACGCCGCGUGAGUGAAGAAGGUUUUCGGAUCGUAAAACUCUGUUGUUAGAGAAGAACAAGUGCUAGAGUAACUGUUAGCGCCUUGACGGUAUCUAACCAGAAAGCCACGGCUAACUACGUG